rnacentral:rRNA from 1 species
UAUUACCGCGGCUGCUGGCACGGAGUUAGCCGGUGCUUCCUUUGGUGGUACCGUCAGCUCCAUGGAAUAUUAAUCCAUGGAGGGUUCUUCCCACCUGACAGAGCUUUACGACCCGAAAGCCUUCUUCACUCACGCGGCAUGGCUGCGUCAGGGUUUCCCCCAUUGCGCAAGAUUCCUCACUGCUGCCUCCCGUAGGAGU